GGGCAGUUAGCUCAGCUGGCAGAGCAACGGACUCUUAAUCCGUGGGUCCAGGGU
rnacentral:tRNA from 1 species